GUGCUCUGCACACAGUAAGCACUCAAUAAAUACGAAUGAUGAUGAUGAUGACUCAUCCAUUGCACUCUGGUAGGCUGACCCCUGUGAUUUCCCCAAAAUAAGGGAAACUUGACUGUAUAAUUUGUGAUAGUGGAGGGGACUGCAUUUGCACUCUCCCC